UGGCUCAGAGGUUAAAGCGUCUGCCUCCAAUGCAGGAGACCUGGGUUCAAUCCCUG
rfam:Ovis aries breed Texel chromosome 12, whole genome shotgun sequence.